rnacentral:rRNA from 1 species
GACGAACGCUGGCGGCGUGCCUAAUACAUGCAAGUAGAACGCUGAAGGAGGAGCUUGCUUCUCCGGAUGAGUUGCGAACGGGUGAGUAACGCGUAGGUAACCUGCCUGGUAGCGGGGGAUAACUAUUGGAAACGAUAGCUAAUACCGCAUAAGAGUAGAUAUUGCAUGAUAUCUGCUUAAAAGGUGCAAUUGCAUCACUACCAGAUGGACCUGCGUUGUAUUAGCUAGUUGGUGGGGUAACGGCUCACCAAGGCGACGAUACAUAGCCGACCUGAGAGGGUGAUCGGCCACACUGGGACUGAGACACGGCCCAGACUCCUACGGGAGGCAGCAGUAGGGAAUCUUCGGCAAUGGACGGAAGUCUGACCGAGCAACGCCGCGUGAGUGAAGAAGGUUUUCGGAUCGUAAAGCUCUGUUGUAAGAGAAGAACGAGUGUGAGAGUGGAAAGUUCACACUGUGACGGUAUCUUACCA